rnacentral:rRNA from 1 species
GUGAGGAAUUUUCCGCAAUGGGCGAAAGCCUGACGGAGCAAUGCCGCGUGAAGGAUGAAGGCCUAUGGGUUGUAAACUUCUUUUCUCAGAAAAGAAUUAUGACGGUAUCUGAGGAAUAAGCAUCGGCUAACUCUGUGCCAGCAGCCGCGGUAAGACAGAGGAUGCAAGCGUUAUCCGGAAUGAUUGGGCGUAAAGCGUCUGUAGGUUGUUUAAAAAGUAUUCUGUCAAAGAUUAGGGCUUAACCCUAGAUAGGCAGAAUAAACUUUUAAGCUAGAGUUUGGUAGAGGCAGAGGGAAUUCCCGGUGGAGCGGUGAAAUGCGUAGAUAUCGGGAGGAACACCAAAGGCGAAGGCACUCUGCUGGGCCAAUACUAACACUGAGAGACGAAAGCGAGGGGAGCAAAUGGGAUUAGAAACCCGUGUAGUCC